CUGAAUCUCACAUCCAAUCUUCUAUCCUUCUCUAUAUCAAUUACUUUUUUUUUCCAUAUCGAAUCACCACACCUUUAUUUAUAGUGAUUUCCUACCUCUUUUUAGACCUUUCUAGGCAUCUUUUCCAACCGGGAUUUCAUUAGUCAAUUAUGAUUACAAGAAUAUUUCGCACAUUGUAAUUUUCUCCUAGCCUUAUAACGAAUACUGUACUCGUAUUUUACAAUACGACCUCGACCUUUGUAUUCUCCUUAUUUAUACGCUUUCCAUUAAUUGUGUUGUAGGUUGACCUGAAGAUUUUUCACAAGAAAUUUACUAGUAUUAAUCAAUUUUCCUUGUCUAACAUUUGAGGAUUACCGGACGAGUCUUAGCGAAAGACAAAAGUCUUUAAAAAAAAAAAUAAAAUAUAUAAUAAUAUAUAAUAACGAUGUUCACUU